rnacentral:sRNA from 1 species
AUAUUCUAAAAAGAGAUGAGCUUUGAGCUUUUAGUCUCUCUAUUUGUUCUCUCGGACAAAAAAAGAAUCUUACCCGGUAGUUUAAUUUGAUCAGUGCAUCUUUAUAUAGGACCUUCAGUAAUUUUAAUAUUAAGAAUUUUGCUUCAUACAUAUAUUUCAACAUUUGCAGUUUUCAUCUACAUAUGCGGAUGUUUGUAGCAGUGGUAUCAGUGUACAUAUACUUCAGGUGAAAUUUGUAAAGUGAAGUGCACAUGACUGUCAUAACCUCCAUUUUUAUCCAAGUUGUACAUCUGUCAAAAUAAUCAACAAACAGGUGCCUUUCUGUAGCUAACCAUUCCUCUUAUUUGGUCGGCUUUGAAUUUGCAGCAUUGUAUCAUAGCUACAGAUGUGGCAUUACUGAAUAGAUGCCGGGCCCUUGUACACACACCUUAAACACAUGUAAUUUUACGUGUGGAAAAGAGGGCAAUUUGGUUUUCUGAUGGAUAAGGACAUGGUUAUCUGUGUAAUGCAUGUCUCAAUGUGGGCCGAUGGAUUGAUAGGGCUCCACUUAACGAGAGUAACCAUGGUAACCUACAAGGAGGCUGUGAUGUUUGUUUAAACUUUUCUUAUUAACACAGAAUGUAUGGACUACAUGUAAUAUAUUAUCAAUGUUUUUCCAUGUGAUUGUAUUGUCUGUUUUAUUUUGGUGCAUUUCUAAUGAAUAUAUAGUUUGGUGUUAUUUUGUACAAAGAUUAAUUUACCAAGAAGUAUGUAUAUAUGUAUCACUGUAUUGAAGUCUUUUAAAUGUUUUCUAAUAAAGAAAUAAAACUGUU